AGGAGAGGAGAGGAGAGGAACAUAAAUGUGUUUUUGCUCAUUUGAACUCACCCUGACUCGAGUGUUUGCAGCAGCAGCGGACAGUUAAGAAGCCCCUCCGUCACGAAUAACACGUAUGGCACAUUGUCCUCCAGACACCACAAGAUCGCAGACCACGGAGACUGGCCUGGAUGGUCGUACUCAACCACCAGAGAGAAACAGGUCCAGGGGAAGUUGGGGCCAAUAUCCUGUUCGUACACCACCACACACACACUGUCAGGCACACUGGGAACAGGACAGAGUGUGAGAACAGCAUGUUUAGUCAUACUUAUUCAGACAGCGUGACGAAUGACCCCUAAACUGAAGAUCACUAUAAACAGCUAUUACAUGUAUACAUUUUGUUAUUGCCAGAAUAUAAAAUAAUGCCAUAUUCUGGUUGUGAUUUAUAAGUAAUUUGCUGAAAUUAGGCUGUGAUCUGGACUAAAAACAAACAGAAAAGAAUUAUACACUCAACAUAUAUCUCAAUAUUUUCAAUAGGCUCUUCUAAUAUAUGUUUUAACAUAUUUGAGCACAAACCAGGAUGUGAGUGAAAUCCAAACUAAACAGUGAGCGAAAGAUAAUCUUAAAAGUGGUGUCACACACGACUCCUGGUCAAAAGUCUUGGUGCCAACACGUGCUCUGCUGCCCUUUGGAACUGAAAACACUCCUCUAAGUCUUUUCAGAAACGCCCUCCUGAGGCAGCUCAAACAGUACCAACAAAAAAACCUGUAACAAAUAACCUGAAGAACUUGUUGGCGAAUCCUCAUAAGAAGUUGAUCAUUAAAAAAGAAAUCUAUUUUUAAAUGUUAAUAACCUCAAACUUUAUUAACCAGCUCUCUUUCCUUCUAGCUAUCAAAAUUCUAUACAUCUUGAAAUCUGCUCGACAGUUUAGAUGAAUAAAUGAUUUUACCUGCUGACUACAGCGGCACCGUUCAGCUUUUUCUCAUCCUGCUCUGGACAAACUGCAGCUGCACCUCAAACAACAAAAAACACAAAUACAAUUAACUGUUUGAAGUCAUCUGUUUGCUUUAUUUUUCUUUGAAUAUUGUUUUAAUUUAGCAACCCUUUCUUCCACAGUGCUCUAUUUUUUUUUUUAGUGCUGCUGAUAAUGUGAUGACUGACCUGGUCAGUGUGCUGCUCACCUGUAACCUGGUUCAAGCUGCUGAUUAUUGUUAAUCUGCUGCCAUCAGUCAACUGAUACGAUGAUAAGAAUCUGCACAGACAAAUAAACUGAGCUCUUAUUGAGUCUUUUUCACAGAAACAUUUAUGACUUCCAGCUACAACUUAGCUGAUAGAAUAAUAGGACUGAUGACACACACACACACACACACACACACACACACACACACACACACACACACACACACACACACACACAGUGUAUUUUAUCUCUUGUUUCAAACACUGACUUUAUCUGAGGUGUUCUGCCCUUUCCUGCUGUUCAGCCACUCAGCCACCAGCUGCUGCAGCUUCUGCAGUUUGAGGCUGGGCUCUUGGUUCUUCUGACUGAGGUAGAGGAUGAUGUGCAGCCUCUUCAGCAGCUGCUGCAGACUCUGCUCUGCACACGCCUCAGCUGCCUUCGUCAGGUACUCUGUUGUUCAUGAAGAGAACACUGUAAAUCUCACAAUACGGUGUCUGUUUAAUUUAAAGCUUGAUGUAAACACUGAAACUAAAGUUAAGGCCUCAGAAAUCCCAGCUUCUUGUUUUGAGUGAUGGGAUCCCAACUGAUUGCAUAACUUCUGUCUGGAAUAUUUACAGGAGAUAUUUCUGUAUUUUGCCCCGGCUGUCUUUCACUGGCUCAACAUGGACAUCGCUUUCACAAAAACAGAAAAUAUACUAUAAUAAAACCAGCAUCAUCAUGAAAUUUACUUUGACUUAACCGUCCUGCUUUAACAUUUUAAACUAACUUAAUAAAGUUUGUCUGCUGGUAUGACAGCAGUUCAUACUGACCCAGACCCGUACUGAGGUCGCACUUCAGCAGCAUCUCCUUAAAUGUCACCAGCACAUGGAUCAGAGCCACCUGGUUGAAAAGCACUUCCUGAUCUGCAACACAGUGGGAGAGGGAGUAGAUAAUUUACUUCCUUCAAAUGUAGGUUUAAUAGCUUAACCCAACAAUAUGCAAAUGAAAACAUUAAUAUGUCAUUUCCUACCUUUGAUCAGUUCUGCAGUCUGUGCAGGGGACCUGCAGAGCGCCCUCUCCUGUUGUUUGAGGAGGAAGUGAGUUUGGUCUGGUGCCAAGCAGCUGAAGUCUUCACACCCCGGGAAGUUGAGCCCCAGCUGUCUGGCAGAGCUCAGACAAGGCUGAGCGAAGGCCAGGAGCUCACAGUAGGCUCGCUGCUGGCUGUCUGCACGAGGAGUUGACCCGUCCACGGAGCAGCGGGUUUUUCCUCUCUGGAAGCAUUUCUGGAAGACGCAGCACUCGUGUUGGCUGGCCUCGCAUCCAGUGUUUGAUUCUGCACCAGAGAAGGCUGCAGCUGUGACGAUGGUGUUUGUUGGUUCACCUCAGGCGCUGAUAAAUAAAAGGAUGAGCUGAGUGCUGGCUGGGCUCUGAGGUGGUGCAGUAAUGGGAGCGAUCUGCUGAGACCUCAGCAUCAUGAAUGUGGCCAGGGGGUCGAGGUCCAGCUCUGGUGGAUGUCUUGUAAACAGCAAACCUCUGUGACCAUCUCUGG